CCGUGCUAAACUCUUGACAGAACUUAGUAGUGCCAAGGAUGUGGUUAUAGAAGAGGGCAGUGCUGGAGAGACAGGAAAAGCAGUCUAUAUUUUGUCUUAGUCCGGCUGGUGACACCCCUUCAUCCGCAAGAUUGUUUGAUGCAAUCAUCAGUGGGUGCAUUCCUGUUGUAAUUAGUGAUGAACUGGAGCUCCCUUUUGAGGGCAUAGUUGACUAUCGAAGGAUAGCUUUAUUUGUUUCUUCUAGCGAUGCAUUGCAGCCAGGAUGGCUCUUGACAUUUCUGCGAAGUGUUAGUCCUGCUCAAAUCAAAGAGAUGCAAUUGAAUUUAGCCAAGCACUCGAGGCAUUUUUUGUAUUCUCACCCAGCUCAACCAAUGGGGCCGGAGGACUUGGUUUGGAGAAUGAUGGCCGGUAAGUUGGUGAACAUGAAGCUCCAUGUACGAAGGUCACAGCGUGUCGUGAAAGAAUCAAGAAGUUUGUGCACUUGUGAUUGUAGACGUCCCAAUAGUACA